GCGGGCUCAUACCGGCGGUGACCAUACCUUCAAAUCCUCCGCCUCCACCGGCGGUUCCUCGCCACGUGUUCCCUCCCCCGCGGUUCCUCCCCAGCGGUUCCUCCCCCUCCCCCGCCGCGCUCUCGGUAUCCCGCGGCCGCCGGCGUCCCCGACGCCCGCCAAUGUCGAGAACCACAUCCGGCGGUCGCGGGCAUCGUGGCGCCAAUACGUGGCCGAGCAGCACUACCG
rnacentral:lncRNA from 1 species